AUUGAACGCUGGCGGCAUGCCUUACACAUGCAAGUCGAACGGUAACAGGUCUUCGGAUGCUGACGAGUGGCGAACGGGUGAGUAAAACAUCGGAACGUGCCUAGUAGUGGGGGAUAACUACUCGAAAGAGUGGCUAAUACCGCAUGAGAUCUACGGAUGAAAGCAGGGGAUCGCAAGACCUUGUGCUACUAGAGCGGCCGAUGGCAGAUUAGGUAGUUGGUGGGAUAAAAGCUUACCAAGCCGACGAUCUGUAGCUGGUCUGCGAGGACGAUCAGCCACACUGGGACUGAGACACGGCCCAGACUCCUACGGGAGGCAGCAGUGGGGAAUUUUGGACAAUGGGCGCAAGCCUGAUCCAGCAAUGCCGCGUGCAGGAUGAAGGCCUUCGGGUUGUAAACUGCUUUUGUACGGAACGAAAAGCCCUGGGUUAAUACCCUGGGGUCAUGACGGUACCGUAAGAAUAAGCACCGGCUAACUACGUGUCAGCAGCCGCGGUAACAC
rnacentral:rRNA from 1 species